ACUCCUACGGGAGGCAGCAGUGGGGAAUAUUGCACAAUGGGCGCAAGCCUGAUGCAGCAACGCCGCGUGAGCGAUGAAGGCCUUCGGGUCGUAAAGCUCUGUCCUCAAGGAAGAAUAAAUGACGGUACUUGAGGAGGAACGCCCCGGCUAACUACGUGCCAGCAGCCGCGGUAAUACGUAGGGGCAAGCGUUAUCCGGAAUCACUGGGCGUAAAGGGUGCGUAGGCGGUUUUUCAAGUCAGAAGUGAAAGGCUAUGGCUCAACCAUAGUAAGCUUUUGAAACUGUUAAACUUGAGUGCAGGAGAGGAAAGUGGAAUUCCUAGUGUAGAGGUGAAAUUCGUAGAUAUUAGGAGGAACACCGAGUGGCGAAGGCGACUUUCUGGACUGUAACUGACGCUGAGGCACGAAAGCGUGGGAGCGAACAGGAUUAGAUACCCGU
rnacentral:rRNA from 1 species